rnacentral:rRNA from 1 species
UAAGGAAUAUUGGUCAAUGGGCGCAAGCCUGAACCAGCCAUGCCGCGUGCAGGAAGACGGCCCUACGGGUUGUAAACUGCUUUUGCAGGGGAAUAAACCCCCAUUCGUGUAAUGGGGUUGAAAGUACUCUGAGAAUAAGGAUCGGCUAACUCCGUGCCAGCAGCCGCGGUAAUACGGAGGAUCCGAGCGUUAUCCGGAUUUAUUGGGUUUAAAGGGUGCGUAGGCGGCCUUGUAAGUCAGGGGUGAAAGACGGUAGCUUAACUAUCGCAGUGCCUUUGCUACUGCAGGGCUUGAAUGUACUAGAGGCAGGCGGAAUGUGACAAGUAGCGGUGAAAUGCAUAGAUAUGUCACAGAACACCAAUUGCGAAGGCAGCUUGCUAUGGUAUGAUUGACGCUGAGGCACGAAAGCGUGGGGAUCAAACAGG